rnacentral:lncRNA from 1 species
CUCCGUGGUAUUAUACGCACUUUUACAUCUGUAGAUGUUCGGUUUAUUUAAUGAAGUACAAAUCCGAUAUGUUAUUAACCGAUGACAAGUCGUAUAGUGACGACACUCGAUCAAUACUACACACUUUCACAAGGCCCAUUCAUACAUUUCAUUCAUAACUCACCUAUCACAUGUAUAUAAAAGUACUCAAGACUUUUAAUCUUUAUUAUUUCUGACAAUAGAACCAUUAGGAUGGAACUUAUAUUAAUUAAAGGUGGAGCUAUGUGUUAAGCCACACCCCUCCUACAACUGAGCAUUUAAAGGAAGAAGCUUUUCAUAUAAACUUACAAAAAGCAAUAUUCUUUCAAUCGGAUAUAUAUAUAUAAAUCUGUUUUACAUUUAACUGUUUUAGCGCUACAG